UGAUAGCGUAGAAGCGUGAGGUUGCUGCGGAUCAUACCGCAGGUUUUCCGUGGAGCGAAUGUCAAGUUAUGAAAACUGGCGACAA
rnacentral:ncRNA from 1 species